rnacentral:SRP_RNA from 1 species
GCCGGGCGAGGUGGCGGGCGCCUGUAGUCCCAGCUACUCGGGAGGCUGAGGCAGGGGAAUUGCUUGAACUCGGAAGGUGGAGGUUGCAGUGAGCCUAGAUCGCGCCACUGCACUCCAGCCUGGNNNNNNNNNNCCAGGCUGGAGUGCAGUGGCGCGAUCUAGGCUCACUGCAACCUCCACCUUCCGAGUUCAAGCAAUUCCCUUGCCUCAG